GCUCGCUGCCCUCGGGCAUUUCCUCCCACGACUUGCACCCGGUCCGCUUCGGCGGGCCGGGUUCUUUUUGCGUUUGA
rnacentral:sRNA from 1 species